rnacentral:rRNA from 1 species
AUUGAACGCUGGCGGCAUGCCUUACACAUGCAAGUCGAACGGCAGCGGGGGAGAAGCUUGCUUUUCCUGCCGGCGAGUGGCGAAGGGGUGAGUAAUACAUCGGAACGUGCCCUGUAGUGGGGGAUAACUAGUCGAAAGAUUAGCUAAUACCGCAUACGACCUGAGGGUGAAAGUGGGGGACCGCAAGGCCUCAUGCUAUAGGAGCGGCCGAUGUCUGAUUGGCUAGUUGGUGGGGUAAAGGCCUACCAAGGCGACGAUCAGUAGCUGGUCUGAGAGGACGAUCAGCCACACCGAGACCUAGACGCGGCCCAGACUCGUACGGGAGGCAUGAGUGGGGAAUUUUGGACAAGGGGCUAAAGCCUGAGCCAGCAAUGCCGCGUGUGUGAAGAAGGCCUUCGGGUUGUAAAGCACUUUUUUCCGGAAAGAAAUGGCUCUGGUUAAUACCUGGGGUCGAUGACGGUACCGGAAGAAUAAGGACCGGCUAACUACGUGCCAGCCGCCGCAGUAA